rnacentral:rRNA from 1 species
UCGGGAAUUUUGGGCAAUGGGCGAAAGCCUGACCCAGCAACGCCGCGUGAAGGAUGAAGUAUUUCGGUAUGUAAACUUCGAAAGAAUAGGAAGAAUAAAUGACGGUACUAUUUAUAAGGUCCGGCUAACUACGUGCCAGCAGCCGCGGUAAUACGUAGGGACCAAGCGCUGUUCGGAUUUACUGGGCGUAAAGGGCGCGUAGGCGGCAAUUCAAGUCAUCUGUGAAAUCUCCGGGCUUAACUCGGAACGGUCAGAUGAUACUGCUUUGCUAGAGUGCAGAAGGGGCAAUCGGAAUUCUUGGUGUAGCGGUGAAAUGCGUAGAUAUCAAGAGGAACACCUGAGGUGAAGACGGGUUGCUGGGCUGACACUGACGCUGAGGCGCGAAAGCCAGGGGAGCAAACGGGAUUAGAUACCCGGGUAGUCCCUGAGCGGGCUGGCAAGGCGCAU